rnacentral:rRNA from 1 species
UACGGAGGGGGCUAGCGUUGUUCGGAAUUACUGGCGUAAAGCGCACGUAGGCGGAUUCUUAAGUCAGGGGUGAAAUCCUGGAGCUCAACUCCAGAACUGCCUUUGAUACUGGGAGUCUUCGAGUCCGGGAGAGGUGAGUGGAACUGCGAGUGUAGAGGUGAAAUUCGUAGAUAUUCGCAAGAACACCAGUGGCGAAGGCGGCGUUCUGGGAGCAGUCGUGAACGCUCAGGUGCGAAAGCUAGGGAGCGAACGGGAGUUAAGAACCC